UCCGGGUUGGACCCGGCGGUCCCGCCAGACAUGGUAACUGGCAGCGAGGGUUGCGCUCGUUGCGGGACUUAACCCAACACCUCACGGCACGAGCUGACGACAGCCAUGCAGCAUCUGUGCGCGCUCCCUUGCGGGUCCUCGACCUUUCGGCCUCGUACCACGCGCAUGUCAAGCCCAGGUAAGGUUCUUCGCGUUGCGUCGAAUUAAACCACAUGCUCCGCUGCUUGUGGCUUAAUUCGAUGCAACGC
rnacentral:misc_RNA from 1 species